CCCCUGUGGAUCACCUCUGUUGUUGUAACAGAAGUCAUCAAUCCAUGUUCUUGUAGAAAGCUUUCCACUUCACGUUCUGUCUUGGGCCACGUGGAGAUCUGGUUUUAUCCAAUAAUGUUCUGCUUGUUGUGAAACUACAUCCCCCAUGAUGCCUUUCUCGGCAUGCAGGCUGGUGGUACUGAACUCCUAUGAUGCCUUGCUGGUAAUGUACCAAGGGAGUUGUAUAGUCGCAUAGUCAUGUUAAACUGUAAUUCCUGGAUCACUGCCCCAGGGCUAUCUCUUAGUCAUUGGGGGGGAGCGAACCCAUCUAGGGCUGUAGAUGGUGGUAGAUAUUCUGGGAUGUGAAAUGUACCAAGCAUGUGCUUGUCUGGAUCAUGAAAUGUGUUCUAACAAGUCUUAGACCUGGAACUUUAUUUUUUAUUUUUUU